rfam:Syphacia muris strain Valencia genome assembly, scaffold: SMTV_contig0000964
CCAACGGCCCUCUUUAGGGCCACAAUUUGUUAAGUCGAACGUACACU